GCCAGUGUGAUGUAGUGGUUUGAGUGUUGGACUAUGAUUCUGAAGACCAGGGUUUGAUUCUCAGCUCAGCCA
rnacentral:tRNA from 1 species